rnacentral:ncRNA from 1 species
CAACCACUAUCCGAUACGGCUGGUUUUCUGCGAAAUCUAUAUCAGUAUAGCGAGCUUAGAAUAAGGCCCGAAGUGGAGCGGAGCGGUGGGUGGCCCAAAGCUUGACCAACCCCAACGAAACUGCGAAUACAGCCUUAAUGAAACGUACAGACAGACUUUGGGUGCUAGGAUCUUGAGUCCAGAGGGAAACAGCCCAUAUCGUACGCUAAGGUCCCUAAACAAUCGCUUAAUGAAAAAGAAAGUGAUCUUGCGUUGACAACCGGGAGGUGGGCCUGGAAGUAGCCCUCCUUUUAAGAAAGCAUAGUAGCUCCAUGGCACCGGAAAUGCAUCCGGGCAAGAGUGAUUCUCGGAAGCCACAACACCGUGGAAGCGAGACGCGAACCAGGACGUUCUCUAAAAUGGGGAUAUAUCAGGAGUGAGAUUCAAUUUUAUUUCAAGGCUCCACUUGGCAUAUGUUAACCCCGAUCUAUCAUUAAAAUAUGUUCGUUUAUACCCUUUCUAGACCUCAAAGAAUGCAGUCUUUCUCAUACUGCAAGGACCAGUCAUGCCCCUUCUGAUCAUAUACACAGAAAUGAAAGUACCAACAUUCAUGUUAAAAAUCACUUAUUCAUACAAUCGACAAAGUAGAAAACAGUAGAAAUCUCCUACCUGAUGACGGACUCUGAAAAUGUCUUUUCGGGCUGUUCAUGCCUUAGAUUAUUUAGAUCACCUCCUGGGCAGUAUUCUCCUACGAAUGCAAUAAUCUUUUCUGUCUCCAGUCGACCAAGGAAUGGCGACAGAAAUGGAUGUUUCAAGGAAGAAGACAGAAUGUCUAACUCCGCCUCUGUCCUCUUCAACCCGCCCUUCUUUUCCGCCAUUGCAGAUUUGCUUAUCACCUUCAGUGCUAAGGAUCUUCUGUCAUGCUUCUCGUCAAUAACCAGAAACACAGUUCCCAUGGCCCCUCGUCCUAAGACUUUCACAGCCUUCAAUUCUUCCAAACGUAUAAUGUCUUCCAUCUUCAUAUCCAGAAUGCAAUAGCUCCGUAUUACCCAACCCUUCUUCGUUGGAUUUUAAAACUAAGAUUUUAGGAACAAAAUCUGAGAACGAUUCUGCAAAUCCUCAGAUUUGGGUUAGUGGCCACGAUGAAA